GGGUGAUUAGCUCAGCUGGGAGAGCGUCUCCCUUACAAGGAGAGGGUCGGCGGUUCGAUCCCGUCAUCACCCACCA
rnacentral:tRNA from 1 species